UACGAAGGGUGCAAACGUUGCUCGGAAUUAUUGGGCGUAAAGAGCUUGUAGGCGGUUUGUCGCGUCUGCUGUGAAAUUUCGGGGCUCAACCCCGAACUUGCAGUGGGUACGGGCAGGCUAGAGUGUGGUAGGGGAGACUGGAAUUCCUGGUGUAGCGGUGAAAUGCGCAGAUAUCAGGAGGAACACCGAUGGCGAAGGCAGGUCUCUGGGCCACUACUGACGCUGAGAAGCGAAAGCAUGGGGAGCGAACAGG
rnacentral:rRNA from 1 species